AGUAGGGCGGGACACGUGUUAUCCUGUCUGAAUAUGGGGGGACCAUCCUCCAAGGCUAAAUACUCCUGACUGACCGAUAGUGAACCAGUACCGUGAGGGAAAGGCGAAAAGAACCCCUGUGAGGGGAGUGAAAUAGAACCUGAAACCGUGUACGUACAAGCAGUAGGAGCACCUUCGUGGUGUGACUGCGUACCUUUUGUAUAAUGGGUCAGCGACUUAUAUUCAGUGGCAAGGUUAACCAUCUAGGGGAGCCGUAGGGAAACCGAGUCUUAACUGGGCGCCAUAGUCUCUGGAUAUAGACCCGAAACCGAGUGAUCUAGCCAUGGGCAGGUUGAAGGUUGAGUAACAUCAACUGGAGGACCGAACCGACUAAUGUUGAAAAAUUAGCGGAUGACUUGUGGCUAGGGGUGAAAGGCCAAUCAAACUCGGAGAUAGCUGGUUCUCCCCGAAAGCUAUUUAGGUAGCGCCUCGGACGAAUACUACUGGGGGUAGAGCACUGUUAAGGCUAGGGGGUCAUCCCGACUUACCAACCCUUUGCAAACUCCGAAUACCAGUAAGUACUAUCCGGGAGACACACGGCGGGUGCUAACGUCCGUCGUGGAGAGGGAAACAACCCAGACCGCCAGCUAAGGUCCCAAAUUACAGCUAAGUGGGAAACGAUGUGGGAAGGCUUAGACAGCUAGGAUGUUGGCUUAGAAGCAGCCAUCAUUUAAAGAAAGCGUAAUAGCUCACUAGUCGAGUCGGCCUGCGCGGAAGAUGUAACGGGGCUAAGUUGUAAACCGAAGCUGCGGCAAUGUUCUAUGAACAUUGGGUAGGGGAGCGUUCUGUAAGCC
rnacentral:rRNA from 1 species